UGUGUCCUAUCGCCCUGGGAAUGAAUUACAACCCGUUUACAUGGCCCACUGGGCCUUCUACAAUUUGGCUUCUGCUUGCUGCAGCUUUCAGUCUUUGCUCUAGCCAAACCUGUUCACCUCUCCUUCAUGUGCUCUCUCACAAACUGCUUCCUCUGCUAUAAACCCAGUUUUCUGUCACUUCUACCUCACUCCAUGAUUUUAUCUGGCUAACUCCUACUUACCUCUUGAGUCACAGCUUGUCAUUUCUGAGAUAACACUGAAGGUUGAAUUGUCAAAUUCAGAGCACACAGACAAUUGGAACACUCAAAUGAAUCACGAAAAAGUCUGAGCCCAUCAACAAAGUAAUCCAAGUCUGUUCUUGCCAUAUUAGGAUGCAUAUUAGAACAUAUGAGGUUCUAAACGGUGCUUGAAUAAUCUUCACAAAGGGAACCAUUUCCGUUAUGGAGCAUCUCCUUUAUACACCCUGUUAAUUACACAGCUUACAUGACAUUUUCUGAUGAGCUAUAAUUUCAAGUUUGGUUAUAAUAAGCGAAUUAGGUAGAUCAUAGUUAGACCAUCUCAUAGAAAGGACUCCCCGACUCUUGCCUGGAAAAUACCAUUAGGUCUCAUGUUUACAAAGGGAUUUGACUGUGGCAUCUGUUCCUAGGCAUCCCCCAGAGGAAGAAAAUAGAUUCCAGACCUGCUGCUAAUCCUCUCCUUCCCAACUUCCUAAGCCAUUCUUCUCAGUGACAAUUCGAGUGCUACUGCUUGGUGUCACAUCAUUAUAAUCAUGUGAACAAGACCUCAUGAUGCUAUAGUUGCUGCUGGCAGCCAUCUUGUGACCAAAACAAGAAGGGCUUUUAGGAUAAAGGAAACACUCUAGACAGCAGAGGAGAAAGACAAAAACAUCUGUAUCCCUGAUGUCAUAGCUUGAGCCAUGGAAUCAAAUCACCCUGCAGUUGGCUGUUGUACUUCUUGCUAUGUGAAAUA